rnacentral:tRNA from 1 species
GCCUUUUUAGUUAAGUGGUAUAACGGAGCCAUGGUAAGGCUCAAUCACAGGUUCGAUUCCUGUAGAAGGCACCA